GGGGGCGAUGAAGACCGGGUCCCACGCAACGGAACCCUGUGAACCUGGUCAGGCCCGGGAGGGAGCAGCCAUAAGCAGGUGUUUCCGUGUGCCGUGGGGGAGCCCGGUUGGAGCCUU
rnacentral:SRP_RNA from 22 species